UUAGGAGGGUGAGCGAGCAGUUCACGGCGAUGUUUAGGAGGAAGGCUUUCUUGCAUUGGUAUACAGGAGAAGGGAUGGAUGAGAUGGAGUUUACUGAAGCGGAGAGCAACAUGAAUGACCUUGUGAUAGAGGGCGGAAGCUACGUUGCGUAAGGGAACGGGGGUUGAUCGAUGAACAACAGGUUCAGACGAUCGAAAGAGAUGAAGAGUACUCCUCUUCUAGCUAUCAAAGCUCUAAAACUCAAUAUUCUUAUUAUCAAAAGCGUGUCUUACAACGAAGUCGUAAUCAACUUAUAAAUAAAGCCAAAUAAUAACUGAAAACUAACUAGAUGUUUAUCUCUAAUAAAACAUGCUUAUCUCAAAUAAAACCAACACCAAAACCGUAAAGGAUAACUAAACCCAAGAGUGGCUUAAGGCCCAAGAAACAAGAGAUGCGCUGCAUCACCUUGUGGCUGAGUAUCAGCAGUAUCAGGAUGCUACAGCGGAUGAGGAGGAGUAUGAAGAGGAAGAGGAAGAGCUCGAGGCUUGAGAUCUUUAGAUCGUUAAGUUUGUUUUCGUAUUUCGCUAUUGAUCUUUAUUGUUUUGGGUGUAAAUUGUAAUGAAAACUAAUUUGUGGGUGAAUCUGUAAAACAGAAGAUGAGGUUUUGCCGUUUUGGUCCUGAUCUUUCUUGUUUCGGUUUAUAUAUAUUGUUAAGGUUUGGUUUUAAGCUCUGUUUUACCCAACACUUCUGAGUUCUCACCAUGGAAGCAUUCAACCGUGGGUUCAACAAGACGCCGAGAAACAUCAAUGGUCGAGUUAAAUCUACAUUUUCCCGUGUCUUUGAUUGAUC
rnacentral:lncRNA from 1 species